UACGUAGGGUCCGAGCGUUGUCCGGAAUUAUUGGGCGUAAAGGGCUCGUAGGCGGUUCGUCACGUCGGGAGUGAAAACUCGGAGCUUAACUCCGAGCCUGCUUCCGAUACGGGCAGACUAGAGGUAGGCAGGGGAGAGCGGAACUCCUGGUGUAGCGGUGGAAUGCGCAGAUAUCAGGAAGAACACCGGUGGCGAAGGCGGCUCUCUGGGCCUUACCUGACGCUGAGGCGCGAAAGCCAGGGGAGCAAACGGG
rnacentral:rRNA from 1 species